UGUCCAGGGUUAGGAAUCGAACCCACAGUGUUCCGCUUACCGGGCAUUUUCCAUGUCCACUAGGCUACCCUGGAC
rnacentral:tRNA from 1 species